ensembl:lncRNA
AAAAGUCAUAGGACAAAUUGUACUUGGUUGCGCAAAAUACUGAUAUGAAAUUCACAUUUUGUACUGAAGGAAACGCCAGAUGAGUUGAGCUCACGUUCAGUUUUUAUUUCUCAUUUCUUCCGCCUCAGUCUCUUCUCAUGUGCACGACCUCACAGGGCUGUCACAAGGCCUGCUGGGCACACGCAGCUCAUAGAAAAGUGAUGGCUUCCUCCUCGCCCCCUCACCUCCCUCCUUCCCCUCUCCCCCUCACUUUGGAGCAUGCAGGCUGAUUGCAGAGACAUCUCCCAGCCAGGAUGUGUCAACAGGGAAUGUGCUGGGGACAGCAGGAGUUCACAGCCACCCCCGCAGGCGCCUUCCUGGAGCACGUCCACAGGCCAUGUGCAGCUGCAUCCCCCGUGACGGCAGGGACAAGUUCCUUCCACAGGACCCGGGUGGCCCCCAGAGCUGCAGCAUUUAUGAUCCAGUCCUUUGCAGAAUGCAAGGAACAGACACAUGAACCCUGACCCAGGUUUUUGUGCAGAAAUGUUCCCUCUUCAGAAUAGAAAGGUCAGGCAUGGAUUAUUAACUCUCAGGACUCUGGAGGACCAGCAGCCACAGAUGUGGAGCCCUGGGGAACAGCCAACAGCCUCCUCUGCCUCCGGGGCUUUGUCCUUCCGUGACUUCAUGCCCGCAAGAAUGGAUGCUAAUUCUCAAUGUCGGCAUGAAAUCGCAGCUGACACACGCUGCCAGGAGACGUCUCCACAAUCAGCCCUCCUGCUGGAGAGGGGAAGGAGGGAAGUGAGGGUGCAAGGAGGAAGCCAUCCCUUCUCUGAGCUGCAUGUGCCCAGCACGCCUCAUGACAACCCUGUGAGGUGAGAGGAGACUGAGGCGCGAGAAACGAGAAGCUUGCCCAAGUCACGCGACUGAAGCACAGAGCCAGGGUCUGGCGCCCUGAGAGGUCCUGGGUGCAUUGGAUGCUGUGCACGUACAUCAGCAGAGAGGCAGGAUGCUGUCAUCUUCCUUUGGAGCCAGUAACAUUUUCUGCUGCCAGCAAGGAAAGAACAUUGGAUCACGCGCCUCCAUGCAGGCAGGGUUCUUCGGUUGCGCUGAUCCCGAGCCCAGCCCUCUUGUGGUCUGUGCUGACGCCAGGGCCUCUUGUUGGAAGGCCUUGUGCUCCACGUUUCCCCCACAACGGGGAGGAUGCUGAACUCUCUACCUGUAAUUCUGGCCUCGGAGCAGCUGUUUUCUGCCUGGUUUCUCACCCCAGCCAUGCACAGUGGAGGUGUCAGCAAAUCCCUGGAGAGAAAGUCCGGUGGACACAGGGCUCCUUUCUCUGAGGUUCCCUUUCCCUGGGAUCACAGCAGCUGUGUCAGGGUCUCCAGAGGGUGCACAGAGUGAGAAGGAGAUUUAUUAUAAGGCGGGGACUCAUGGGGUAAUGGAGGCGGUGAGUCCAGCAUCUGCAGUGUGGGUAGCGUGGUCAGUGUGGGUAGCGUGGGCAGUGUGGGUAGUGUGGGCAGUAAAAAUACAAAAAAUUAGCCAGGCGUGGUGGCACAUGCCUGUAAUACCAGCUACUCGGGAGGCUGAGGCACAAGAAUCACUUGAACCCAGGAGGUAGAGGUGGAGGCUGCAGGGAGCCGAGAUCACACCACUGCACUCCAGCCUGGGCAACACAGCCAGACUCCAUGUCAAAAAAAAAAAAAAAAAAAGUUAAUCUCAUCUAAAAACACUUUCCAAAUUGACACAUAAAAUUAAUCAUCACAAGAGAGCUGACAUUCAUUUUUUGAUAUUCAAAAUAGGAUCUUGCAACAAGACAGUCAGCUGGAAAGCCAGGC